rnacentral:rRNA from 1 species
GAUGAACGCUGGCGGCGUGCCUAAUACAUGCAAGUCGAGCGAACAGAUGAGGAGCUUGCUCCUCUGACGUUAGCGGCGGACGGGUGAGUAACACGUGGAUAACCUACCUAUAAGACUGGGAUAACUUCGGGAAACCGGAGCUAAUACCGGAUAAUAUAUUGAACCGCAUGGUUCAAUAGUGAAAGACGGUUUUGCUGUCACUUAUAGAUGGAUCCGCGCCGCAUUAGCUAGUUGGUAAGGUAACGGCUUACCAAGGCAACGAUGCGUAGCCGACCUGAGAGGGUGAUCGGCCACACUGGAACUGAGACACGGUCCAGACUCCUACGGGAGGCAGCAGUAGGGAAUCUUCCGCAAUGGGCGAAAGCCUGACGGAGCAACGCCGCGUGAGUGAUGAAGGUAUUCGGAUCGUAAAACUCUGUUAUUAGGGAAGAACAAAUGUGUAAGUAACUAUGCACGUCUUGACGGUACCUAAUCAGAAAGCCACGGCUAACUACGUG